AACAUUGAGAAUGUAAACCUUAUAGAGUUGUUCAAGCGGGGUCCACACGGCGAUUAUCAAUCAGAGCAUAACCUUCCUUCAGAAACGCUUGUUUCCCCUUCUACCUGGCUUCCUGAACCAGUGGCCACAGCUUGGAACGAGCCUCCUGGUCUUCUUUGGAGAAGUCCUCUCUGGCACAACUCUUGUGAGCAUCCCGAUGAUGAUUUCUCUUGUGUUCUCUCCAUCCUUUUCAGGUAGACCAAUCAGCCUCAGGUUCCAUCUCCUCUUGUACCGAGCCUGUUCCUCAUAUGCAUCUUGCUGCACACUCGCGCUUCCUUCGAUUUUUUUCCACACUUCAUCCCGGAUGGUUCUCAUCCCGAACUGGAUGAUGAUUGCCCUCGGCGUGUUGUUUGAGGUAGCAACAGUGUUCUUCUUUCCCAAAUGGUGGACAGUAUCCACAGUGUCUCGCAGCCGGUCCACACACAGUGGCACAACUCUUAUUUGAUAAGAAUGAUCCCAAGAGCUUUUACCGCAUACCAAAAAAGCCUGAAGCUCGCCGAAAGCUUUGGAUCACAGCAAUUAACUGUGACAAGUGGGAACCUACUGACAACGACCGUGUUUGCUUUCGACACUUUAUAUCUGAUAUCAACCAAAAGAUGAGUAAAACGCACGAACAGCUGAUUUGUAUGCUUUCUGACAGAGGAGGAAAGACUGGAUGUAUACAAAAGGAGUGACUGAGGAGGCAGCAUCC